CCGUUCAAAUUUUUUUUCUAUAUUUUCUAUAGAAUAUAGAUAAUUUGUUAUGAUUAAUUAAUUAAUUGACAGAAUAUUUAUUUAAAUCUUUUUUCCUUCUAAAGUUGCGUUUUACAUAGAACCGAAUGUCUAGUGUAAGGGGCCAAUUUAGCCCGGGCCCGUAUAAACACAAAACCAAAAUCAAUAAAAAUACAUUAACAGUCCAAAAAAAGUCCAUUUAGUUAAUGUCCUAUUACAAGCCCAAAACAGUCCUCUAGCCCAAAUCUAGUGGCCCAAUACCCAAUUAACCCAAGUGGCCCAAGGUUUGAAAACAGGGCAGAACCCUAGCAGCAAGGAACACCGCAGCCCUAGCCUCCAGCACGCCUCCGUACGACCCCCUGCGCACCUCCGUACAGCCUUCACGCACCACUUGUACCCGAGCGCCAGCACACCCGCACCUGCAAGGAGACAAACAAGCAACAACAGCAAAGAAAAACAAAAAGAAAAAACAUUGUAUUUUUUGUUUUUCGUUAAUUUUUCCUCUUUCCUUUCGGCUAUAAAGCCAGAGUUUGAGUCUUUGUAAAAGGUUACGCUGAGAGAGAAUACGAACACACAAUACAGCCACAAUACUCGCAUAUUGAAUACAAGGCAAUAGCAAAAAAAAGGUGAUUUGAGAUUAAAAUUUUCGGGUUUCUUCUUCUCGACUUUUUCUUUCUGCAUUUUUUUUUCUUUUUUUUUCUUUAUUUGCAUUCAAAUGUAAAAAAGGGGGAAAGGAAGAGUUACCUCAAAAGCAUGCCAUGGAUCUCCUCUUGCUUUGUUAAAAUCGAAGCUAGGAGGAGACUAAAAGGCUGAAAGGCGUUCUCUCCAACCCUAAAUCUGUUGGCUGCUGCGAAGGGAAGGGAAAUCGGCAGUUUCAAGGAGGACUUAGGGUUUGGAAAAGGAGAGGAUGAAGGGGGUUCGGCUGAAUGGGGUGCUCUGUUGUGGGAUUUUAAGGCAAUAGAAACGGUACCGUUUAGACCAAGGAUAAUGGUCUCAAACGGCACCGUCUAGGUCUCCCACUCUAUGCCCGAUCCGACCCGUUUCUUCGACCCUCAAGAUCCGUGCGUUUAUCGCAGUGAAGGGAAAGUUUCACAUUUAGUCCCUUCCUUUUGCACUGAUGCUUAGUUAGACCGAGUCCAGAUUCCUUUAUUUUUUAAAUCUGCCCUAUAAUUUGUACAUAUUUUCAUUUUAGUCCGCGUCUUAAUGCUGAGUUGCGAGGACUGGUAUAUUUCCAGUUUAGAUCCUUCUGCAUUAUUGUGCCUCGCACAUUGGUCCCCCUUGUUAUUUGUUCUGUUUUCUUAAUUUUCCCUUGUUGUUUUAGUUUAAUUUCAAUCAAGCCCUUGUUCAUGUACAUGUAAACCUUUUUGUUUAUUUCAAACCAUUUUAGUUAUUUUAAACUUUGUAUUAAAUUAUUUCAUGUUACUCAUUUUGAAUAGUUUUUAUAUACAUUCUGUUUUAAAUAUUUUUUUAUACGUACAUAUAUUUUAAAAAUUGUUUCAUUAUUUGUUGUGAGUUUUAUUAUGUGAAUAUUAUUGUUUUAAACUUUUAUGUAUAUAUUAACAUUAUCUAUUGUUAACGUUUUUAUAUAUAUUAUUCAUAUAUAAAUCAUUCAUAUAUAAAUCUUUUUAUGUAUACAAUGUUCUAUUUCAGAUUUCCUUUCAUGAAUUAUAUUUUAAACUAUUUAUAUUUUAUUUUAAAUAUAUUCUUAAACUUUAUUUAUUUACUUUAAAAUAUUUUAUUUAUUAUCCACUUUAAGGUUCUUCUUUCGUAUUAUGUAUUUUGUAUUUAUAUACAUAUGUAUAUAUAUAUCUACUUUAAACCAUUAUUCAUUUUAUUUACCACUUAUUUCCUAUAUAUAUCUGAUCAUGUAUUUUAAUAUGCUAUUCAAAUGUGCUUUGUAUAUAUAUGUUUUUACAUAAAAUUUAAGUUAUUUUAUAUCCAUUUACAUUAGUACAUGUUUUUGAUUUACAUACAUUAUCAAACCUAUAUUUUAUAUAUAUAUAUAGUUUUCUUUAUACAUAAACGUGCUUUUAAGCCCAUCAUAAUUUAUAGUAAAAAUAAUUCAAUCUCGAGUACGGUUCUACGUUUUACAAGCAAUUAUUUCUAGUUUAUUUUCAUACAUAUAUAUAUAGAAUUUGUGAUAAAAUCAAUCCAUUUUUCUUUAUAUAUAUAAUUCAUAUUUUUUAAUUCCAUGUUAUUUUGUAUAUAGUUGCUUCAAAAUUCACUCAUAUGUACAUAAACACUUUUUUAUAUAUGUCUAUAAAUUGUUUCAAAUUCUAGCAUAUAUUACUUGAUUGUUAGUCCAUCAUUUUUGGUCCAUUAUUUUUGUGUCAUGUUGAUUCUAUUUCGUUGGUACCUCAUGUGUUAAUUAUCUUCGCGAUACCUCUUGUAUAUUUGCUACGUCGUAUUUGCGCAUUCUUAUAUGUCAUCACAUCAAUUAUUCUCCAUGUAUUAUUGCAACCGGAUCACACUUUUAGGUUAGCUAUUUAAUUAUUAGUAUGUUAGUUGAUCACAUCUCGUAUAUGCCUAUUACCUCAUAUCAUCAUUUUCCAUCUUGUUUUUUUUUUUGAAAUGUGGUUUUUCCAUAAAACCCAAAUCUUAUGAUUAAUUUCGCCUUAUUUCAAAUCGAAUUAAUACGUCUUAAGCUAGUUUUAUAAUCAUGUCUCUUAAAAUUCUUCAAAACGAAGACGAGAUUCGAUGCUCGGCAAUUCGCGGAAUCGUGCCCUAACGUGUUGGGUUGCAAUUUCGCGUUUGCUUAAAAUAAUCGAAUAUCUCUUCAACGUUUCACUCAUGCCUUUUAAAAAUUCUUUAAAACGAAUGUAAAGUUUGAUAUUUGGCAAUUCGCGGAAUCGUGCCCUAACGUGCUGGGUUGUGAUUUCUCGUUUGCUCAAAACGAUUGAAUAUCCCUUUAGGUUUUCAUUCAUGUCUUCUAAAAACCUUUUAAAACAAAGGCAAUACUCGGUGUUUGAUAAUUCGAGAAUCAUGCCCUAUCGUGCUGGGUUGUGAUUUCUCGUUUGCUCAAAACAAUCGAAUAUUCCUUUAGGUUUUCACUCAUGUUUAUUAAAAAUCUUUCAAAGCGAAGACGAUGUUCGAUGUUUGGCGAUUUGAGAAUCGAGCCCUAUCGUGCUGGGUUGCGCUUCUUCAUUUGUCCCAAAUAAUCGAACAUCUCUUCGGGAUUUCACACGUAUUUUCUAAGGUAAUGUAAUGGUCAAUGUUUGGAAAUUCGAGGAAUCAUACCCUACUGUGCUGGGUUUCGGUUUUCCGUUGGACUAAACUAUUCAACAUCCUUUUGUGAUUUUUAAAUUAUAGAUUUUCGGACGUCGAAACAAUAAGAUUUUGACAAUCAACUCGAGUUAUUCAAGCGUUAUAAAAAAGAACCACAUUUCGAAAACUUUUUAAUUUUAGACAUAAGGACAAUACUUAAUUCUUUCGGUACCAAUUUUGGGCGUAGUGAGGGUGUUAAUCCUUCCUCAUGCGUAACCGACUCCCGAACCCGUUUUCUUAAAAUUUCGUAGACCAAAAUCAUUGUUUUAAUAAACCAAAAAAUGUUUUAUUAAACUAACCUCAUUUUUAGGUGAUCCGAUCACAUUAAAACAAAAGAUCGGUGGCGACUCCAUAUUUCUGUUUUUCAAAAGUCGAUUUCCUCCUUUUUUUUAAAUUUAAAAUUUUUUUAAAUCGUUGGAUGGUUUCAACAGCUUGGCGACUCUGCUGGGGACGAUCUUGAGAGUCGAGCCAUAAAAAUCGAUUAUUCAUUGUCCUUUUGUUAAAAGACUGAAAAUUUAUUUUAAAAAUCAUGAAUCUUUCAAUUGCAUUUGAUUGUAUGUUACUUUGUGCGGGUCUUGUAGAAUAGCACUGCAUUUCAUUGCAUGACCACUGUGGUCACACCUGCUAAGUGGGAGUAAGAAACUACGCUUUCGUGAGGUUUUCACCUCUGCAUGAGCUAGUGGAUUGCUUCCGGGGUACAUCCAUACCUAUGAUUUCGUGAGAUUUUCAUCUCCACAUGGUCAUAGGGAAAUGUAUCCCCCCGAACCGAACUCGAUCUAUAUGAGCCUGUAAUGGGUGAGGAUUGAGGAAUCUGCUGGUUCGGGUACCCCUUUUCCUAGAACUAAACCACAUAUAGUGAACCCUAGGAGCUAUCCUUGGGUGAAGUCGCGUCGAGCCUUAGUACUUACCCUUAUAUGUGUUAUGAUUAUCGUUUAUGUGCUUGCAUUUUAUCGCUAUUAUUUGAUACUAGCCGGUGUUUUGUUUUGAUUGUCUUUUUUGCAUGACAUUGCAUACUAAAGGAGGCGUUACUCCAUAUUCAAUUACUAAGUUAGAAAAUUUGACAUAGAUAAUGAAUUUUUUAGUAAAGUCGAGGAUAAUGCGGCCGUUCGUGCAUGGUCGAAGAGGCUACAAUCAGAGAGAGGGGAUAGCUUGGCAGAAGGGCAUGUAUCGGAGCUGCAGGAUUUCACUCGCGUCAAUGUAGUACAGAAUGAGCUGUAAGAGUUGAGAGACAUUUGGGCUAGUUGGGAUGAAGGGAUCAAGCAGUUGUUUUACCAAAACUACGGUGACAUAUCCUACCUGCUAGACAUUAGAGUGGAUAAGCAUUUGUUCCGAGCCUUGGUGCAGUUUUGGAAUUCUGUGUACAAGUGUUUCACUUUUGGAGAAGUGGAUUUGGUACCUACCAUGGAGGAAUACACUGCACUGCUUAGGUGUCCAAAGAUUCAGGUCCGAAAGACUUAUGCCCGGGUUUUUAGUAAUCAGGCUUUCGUGAAGAAACUGAUGAGCAUUUCUGGGAUGAGUGAGCCUUGGGUCACCGCUCGAAUUCAGCAAAAAGGAGAUAGCAAAUGUAUCCCUUGGGAGAAUUUGCGAGAUUUGAUCUUGACUCAUCCAGACGAAAGAAAGACGGUCAAUAUAUUUGCUUAAGCAUCUACGGUUUAGUGAUCUUUCCUAAGGCUUUGAAGCACGUAGACGAGGCGGUCAUCAACUUGUUCGAUCACAUUGAAAAGGGAAUCACACUGGUACCGGCGAUAUUGGCAGAAACGUUCAGAUCUUUGAGCUCAUGUCGGAAGACAGGCGAGGGGCGAUUUAUUGGAUGUGCUCAACUAUUGAUGGUAUGGUUUCAUGGGCACUUUUGAAAGGUAGACAAAGUUUCCUAUCGAGUCUUUUUCGAGGGUUAUUCCCCGUUAAAAGAAGAGGCAACUAUACAAAAGAGAGAAGAUAUCUCGGAGGAGAAGUGGAUGGAUAUUCUUCAAAACCUCAGGGAGGGGGACAUCGAGUGGAGAGCUUAUUGGAUGGUCUCUGACGAGAUCAUGUACUGAUGUGGUAACUUCGAUUGGGUGCCAUUGUUAGGAAUCUGGGGAGCUACCGGGUAUACUCCGUCGAUAGCCUUGAGGUAAUACAAGUCGAGGCAGUUUGUACCCAUGACCUACGGACUUGCUCAGAGUGAAUUCUCGUUUAAAGGUGCUCACUAUAAGAAGAGAGUUCGAGAAUUAUCAAAUGCUUGGAAGUAAACUUGUUGGAUGAAGAGGUUAGCCGUCGGUUCCAUGGUAACACCCGAGUACAGCGAAUGGUUUAAGAAGAGGAUUAAUGACAAUAUUCCUAGGCUAAGCUUAGAGAGUGCUCGACCUGUCGGGGAACAAUUACAAGUCGCCCCAUCAGAAUUGGAGAUUAUAAGACAAUAUUUCGAGAAGAAGAGUUUGAAGCUUGGGAAGAAGAUCGAACAAUUAGAGGAAGAGAAGAUCCACCUAAGAUUAGAGGCUGAUGUCCAGAGGUCAAAGGCUGAGAAGUGGAGAAAAGGAAAAACUAAGGCUAAAAAAGAUCUAGACAGUUUGAAAAUGAACUACAAGAAGUUACGCCUAUCUAUAAGGACUACGGGUUUAGGUAAGACUUCCGAAUAAUGGCGCCAUGAAAUUCGGGAAGAAAAGGCCAAUACCGACCGGUGGGAAAGGAAAUUCCGAGAAAUUCAAGCACGAAACGAAGAUUUAGAGAAAAGUCUGUCAGAAAGCAGAAAUGAGCGAGGGGAAUUAAGGGCUAGAGUGGCAGAACUUGAGAAGUCCCUACAUCAGUACCGAAACCGCAACACUGCGACAGAAUUGAGAGAAACGAGGAUUGUUGGAAGAGUUAGAAAUGAAAGGAAGAAUAGAAGAAUUCGAGGCGUCACUGCAAAAUUGUGAGAUGCGGAUCCAGUUUUUCGAGGGAAACGAGGAUUGUUGGAAUGAGCAGCUUCACCAUGCGUAAGACCAAGUCAGAAACAGAGAUUACCUUCUGGGGGAAGCCAUAACACAGAUUCGGGAGGUAGCGGACUACUUGUAAACUUUAGCGGUUUAGGCAGACACACUAAGCGUAAAAUAUGAGUUGGAGUCGGAGCGCGGACAAGAGCUGGCCUCGUUGCUUAGAAAAAUUAGGACUCUAAGUAUUAGAGCAAAAUUUUAUUUGUAACUCGACUUUAUGUAAAAGAUUUUAUUUUCAAGUAAAAUUUUCUAAGGGCGAUUAAAUCAAAAUUGAUGCCUCAUUUGCAUUCAUGCAUUACAUAAUAUCAUUAUGCAUUAAAGGCCAUAAGGGUUUUCAAUUAAUUAAUUAAAAAUUAUUUUAGUAACCUGGAAACCAACGAAAAUCAACCAACCACGCACCCCUACGAUACAAGAAAAAAAUUAAUGGAUAAGAGACUCGAGAAAUUGGAGCAGAUGCAAAAAGACAUGCAAGAACAAAUGCAGUCUCAGAUGCAAGAGCAACUAGCCAAGAUUCAGUGAGAGAUGAAAGAGCAAAUAAUGGAGUCCUAGAGGGAAAUGAUGAGUCAGUUAUCUCAAUUGCUGUUGGACGGAACGGAUAAGGGAAAGGGCCUUAUGGACAAAGUUGAAGAAACUAAUGAGGAUCCUCAAUACCCCCUAGCUUUACUCGGACACAUGUACCGAUGAAGCUCGAGAUUAAUCUACCGAAACCAUCUGUCACGAUCAUGCCCCAACAGAUUCAGGCCGGAGCUUCAAUACCGAUGAAUCUCCAAACCGGCUCAGGCUCUAACUUUGUCAACAACCCAAACUAUCCGUCCGUUCCCGAUUUGGACGAAAUUACUGAAGAAGAAAAAGCUAGGAUAGAUUCGCAAAAACAAUUGGAAGAACGGUGUAGAUGGCUUAAGGAGAAAUUCAAAGCCAUGGAAAACGCAGAUCAUUAUCAAGGGAUUAAUGCCAAGGACCUAAGUUUGGUCCCAGAUUUAGUUCUUCCUCCUAAAUUCAAAAUGCCCGAAUUCGAGAAAUCCAAUGGAACAAGUUGCCCUGAAGCUCAUAUCACUAUGUUCUGUAGGCGAAUGACGGGAUAUGUUAACAAUGACCAGCUAUUAAUCCACUGCUUUCAAGAUAGUCUGGUCGGGACGGUGUCUAAGUGGUACAACCAAUUAAGCUGCUCUAAGAUUAACUCGUGGAAGGACCUUGCCCAGGCCUUUAUGAUGCAAUACAAUCAUGUGACAGACAUGAUCCCUGAUAGAAUCACUCUCCAGAACAUGGAGAAGAAAUCGAAUGAAAGCUUCAAGCAGUACGCACAAAGGUGGAGAGAAGUGGCCAUACAAGUUCAGCCGCCGCUUCUAGAAAAAGAGACGACAAUGCUCUUUAUCAACACAUUGAAAGCCCCUUUUAUCACUCAUAUGUUACGAAGCACCACAAAAAGCUUCUCCGACAUAGUGAUGACGGGGGAAAAUAUUAAAAAUGCUGUGAUGAGCGGCAAGAUAGAAUCGGGAGAGAAUGCCAGGAAGUCAACCCCGAGGAAAAGAGACAAUGAAGUGAACAACACGAGCACAUCCAACAAAGGUCAGUCCAAGUCAUUCACCGUAAAUCAACCCAAGACGGUGACCACCAAUCAGCAAAGCUCUGUAAGACAAGAAUCCAACGCGAUGGAGAACACAGAAAGGCCACAAUUCACCCCUAUACCCAUGACGUAUGGGAAAUUGUAUCAGAACCUGUUAAACGCUCAUGUGGGGUCCGCUUUCUACCUGAAACCACUGCAGCCCCCAUAUCCCAAAUGGUAUGACACAAACGCCCAAUGUGAAUACCACGCGAGAAUCACCGGGCACUCUAUCGAAAACUGCACUGUGUUUAAAAAAUUAGUCGAAAGACUCAUUAAGAUGGGGAUCGUGAGAUUUGAUGACCCAGCCACACCCAAUGUAGUAGGAAACCCACUCCCCAAUCAUACCGACCAAGGAGUGAAUGUGAUAAGUGAAGGAAGGAAUAAGAAAAUCAAGAAUGAGGUGGCAGAAAUCAGAACCCCAUUGAGACAGGUAUGGAAGGAGAUGGCCAAGAGAGGAUUGAUUGUGUUGGAUUCGAGGGACAAAUCUGAAGAAGAGAAGAACUGCUGCGAGUUCCACGAUGAGGUGGGGCAUGAAAUCCAAGAGUGUGUGGAAUUCAGAGCCCUAGUACAGAACAUGAUGGAUAAUAAGGAAAUGAAAUUCUAUGAAGAGAUCGAAGACCCCAUAGAGGGAGAUAUAUGUGCAUCAAAGAAAGGAUCGGUAGCGCAGAAUCAAACGACCAACUAUCCUGUGGUUAUCAUAUCGAGACCCAAAAAUAAUUAAGCUGGAGUUCAAAUGCCACCGAGGGUCAUAAUCCAAAGACCCGCAGUCUUCCCCUACAAAGAUAGCAAAAAGGUCCCAUGAAAUUAUGAUUGCAGUGUAACGAUGCCGGGAAAGGAGAGCCCGAUUGACGCUUCAAGAGGGGAUCAAGACAGGGGUUCCUAUACACGUAGCGGGAGACAUUACGAUACGGCGAAUGAGGAGGCACAACCCAUAAAAGGAAAAGCCCAGGUGGUUGAGGAAAUGAAGGGAAAAGCAACCAAACCUGUUAACGAGCCAGUUAACGAAGAUGAGGCCAAGGAAUUUUUAAAAUUCUUAAAGUAUAGUGAAUACAGUGUGGUAGAACAGCUACGUAAACAACCAGCCCGUAUCUCGGUGCUGGCCUUACUUCUAAGCUCGAAAGUUAAUUGUAGCGCACUAAUGAAGGUCUUAAACGAGACAUAUGUUGCCAACGAUAUCUCCGUUAACAAGCUAGACCGUUUGGUGAGCAACAUAAGUGCCGACAAUUAUAUCUUCUUUAAUGACGACGAGAUACCACCCGGGGGCAUGGGGUCGACUAAAGCUCUGCAUAUCACCACAUGCUGUAAAGGGUAUACACUGCUAAGCGUUCUGAUCGACAAUGGAUCGGCCUUGAACGUCCUGCCAUUGACCACGCUGAACAGAUUACCUAUAGAUAGCUUUCACAUGAAUGAGUGCCAGAACAUCGUGAAGGCAUUCGAUGGCACGGAGAGAAAGGUGAUGGGCAGAAUCGAGGUACCUCUUCAGGUUGGGCCAAACACAUAUGAGGUGGAUUUUCUCAUGAUGGAAUCAAACCCUCAUAUAAUUGCUUAUUGGGGAGACCCUAGAUACAUUCAGCUGGGGCAGGGCCUUCCUUGUUGCAUCAAAAAUUAAAGCUGGUGUUGGAGGGGAGGUUGAUAACGAUCAAGGCCGAAGAGGAUAUUAUUGUAACUGUGAGCAAUAAUGCACCCUAUUUGGAGACGGAUGACGAAGCAAUCGAAUGUUUAUUUCGAUCUUUGGAAUUUGUUAAUACGACAUUCAUCACCGAGGGAAGCAAAAUUCUGGUACCGAAAUUGUCCAAAACCAUGAUGAUGAACCUCCAAUUGACGAUUUGAAAAUGAGCCCUACCCGGGAAAGGACUUGGGAGACAUCUAGAAGGAAGAACUGAAACGCCAAUGCUGAAAGACAAGAGAGACCGCUUCGGCUUAGGAUUUAAGCCGGAUGCGAAACAAAUGAGAAGAAAGAUGGAAAAGAAGUAAGAAAGAAGGAGAGCUCGAUUAACGGGGGAGGAAAUCAAGUGAGAACCAAUGAUAUUCCCCCAUAUAUCGAAAACAUUUGUGUCUGGGGAAAUCAUUCAUCCUGAUAGAGACACGCUAAUGACGGGAGCUAUAGAAGAAAGGCUGGAAAGCUUGGACAUCAACGUCAUGUACGAAAAGGAGACUGGAAGAGAAAGUUUAUCGGACAUUGGGCCCUACACAUCUGGAAGUGUUCUGGACAACUGGACUGCGGAAGAGAUCCCUAUAAUUUUUAGAAUGGAUUCAGAGUAAUGUCCAAAACACACUUAUUGCUUUAGGCCUAAGAGUGAUAAGGAUCUUUUGUGAAAUAGGCCGAUGUUUAAAAAUGUUGUUUCAAUAAAAUACACGGUUAUUAUCAUUUUUGAGCAAAUGUUCUCUUGUCCUCUCAAUUUCAUUCAUAACCAUACAAAUGAUUACUUUUGGAUUCUUUUAUCCUUGAAACAUUCUUCUAAAUAUUCUUUCAUUCGUCAUUCAUAAUUAUACCAUGCAAAUAAAUGUUUCGAAUUCUUUUGAUUCUUUGUAUCUGCCUUCAUCCUCAUAACAGGUCCCCAGAUAUUAAUGAUACGAGUGACACUGUUAGCGACUCAGAAUUUCCUUUCGAGCAAGAUGUGUGUAUGGAUGAUUCUCAGGAUUUUGAAGAUAACCAAGGCUGUAACAUAUCUCCUGAUUUGUUGAUGAUGGUAAAACAAGACGAGAAACAAAUCCUACCUCACAAAGAAUCAGUUGAAAUUGUCAGCUUAGGAGAAGGACAAGAGGUGAAGAUCGGAACAUGUAUCACUACGGAAAUAAAGCGAGACCUCAUUAAACUACUUCAAGAAUUGAAAGAUGUAUUCGCAUGGUCAUACCAAGAUAUGCCCAGGUUAGACACUGACAUCUUGGUACACCGACUCCCCAAAAAGGAAUAAUGUAAGUCAGUUCAACAAAAACUCCGAAGAAUGAAGCCCGAUGUCUUGCUAAAAAUAAAAGAAGAGGUCCGAAAGUAGUUCGACGCUGGAUUCCUGAAGGUGGUAAAAUACUCAGAUUGGGUAGCCAACAUCGUCCCCGUCCCUAAGAAAGAUGAAAAAGUACGAAUGUGUGUGGACUACAGAGAUUUGAAUAAAGCCAGCCCGAAAGACAAUUUCCUACUGCCUUAUAUCGACACCUUAGUGGACAACAUGGCAGGACACUCAUUGUUUUCAUUCAUGGACAGUUUCUCCAGAUACAACCAGAUCAAGAUGCAUCCGGAAGAUAUAGAGAAGACCACAUUUGUAACCAUGUGGGGCACGUUUUGCUACAAGGUGAUGCCGUUUGGACUAAAGAAUGCGGGGGCAACUUAUGAAAGAGCCAUGGUAACCCUUUUUCACAACAUGAUGCAUAAAAAAAUCGAGGUUUAUGUCGAUGAUAUGAUAGCUAAGUCUCGAACAGAGAAGGAGCACAUACAAGUCCUGAGAAAAUUGUUUUUGAGGUUGAGGAAGUUUCAGCUAAAACUCAGCCCCACCAAAUGCACCUUUGGAGCCAAGUCUGGAAAGUUGCUCGGAUUUGUGGUUUGUGAGAAAGGAAUCGAGAUCGAUCUAGAAAAAGUUAAAGCCAUACAAGAGUUAUCCCCGCGCACACUCAAAAAGAAGUUCGAGGCUUUCUAGGAAGAUUAAAUUACAUUACUCGGUUCAUUUCACAACUGACCGAGAAAUGUGACCCUGUCUUUUGCCUCUUCAAGAAACAUAACCCAGGUGAAUGGGAUGAAGAAUACCAAAAGGCUUUCGACAAUGUCAAACAGUACUUAUCCAACGCCCUGGUAUUGAUGCCACCUAACCCCGAUAAGCCGUUGAUACUGUAUUUGGCAGUAUUCGAGAACUCCAUGGGGUGCGUGCUGGGUCAAUAUGAUGAGUCAGGAAGGAAAGAAAAAGCUAUUUACUAUCUUAGUAAAAAGUUCACAGAAUGUGAGAUAAGGUACCCGCCGAUAAAGAAGUUGUGUUGUGCUCUAAUUUGGACAACUCGCAGGCUGAGGCGGUAUAUGUUGUAUCACACCACUUGGCUCAUCUCAAAAUUGGACCCCUUAAAGUACAUAAUGGAGUCAACAGCUUUGAAUGGAAGGAUGGCCCGAUGGCAGAUUCUGCUCUCCGAAUUUGACAUAGUUUAUGUGAAUUAGAAGGCAGUAAAAGGGGUUGCAAUAGUAGAUUUUCUGGCUAGUAGAGCUUUGGAAGACUACGAGCCUUUGAACUUCGACUUUCCGAAUGAAGACCUAAUGUGUGUUGCUACCACUGAAGAAGGUGCUCUGGAAGAAAUUCCUUGGAAACUAAACUUUGAUGGGGCAUUAAACGCCAUGGGUAAUGGAAUCGGGGCAAUCUUGGUAUCCCCAAAUAGAGAUCAUUAUCCAUUCACUAGUAAAUUGGAUUUUGAUUGUACGAAUAACAUGGCAGAAUAAGAAGCGUGCAUCAUGGGUACCCGCGCAGCCAUAGAUCGCGAGAUUAAAGUGCUAGAAGUGUUUGGGGAUUCUACGCUAGUGAUUUAUCAACUCAAGGGAGAAUGGGAGACCAGAGAUCCUAAGUUAAUCGAUUAUCGGAAGCUGGUCCUUGAAUUGGUUAAAGAGUUUGAUGACAUUACCUUCCACGAGACGAAAAUCAGAUGGCUGAUGCUUUGGCUACCUUGGCCUCCAUGAUCAAGGUGAACAAACAAGAAGAUGUCAAACCCAUCUGGAUGAGCAUUUAUGAAGUUCCGGCCCACUGUUACAAUAUUGAAGAAGAUGAAGAGAAAGAUGAUCACCCUUGGUAUCACGAUAUAUUGCAAUACGUGAAGAAUCGUGAGUACCCGGACCAGGCAAGCGAGAAUGACAAAAGAACACUAAGAAGAUUAGCCAUCAAUUAUGUCUUAGAUGGGGAUAUCCUAUACAAAAGAAGAAAGGAUCAAGUGCUACUAAGAUGUGUAGACGCUGUAGAGGCUAAGAAAAUCUUGGAAGAAAUAUAUGAAGGUGUCUGUGGGACACAUGCUAAUGGUUUUACAAUGGCCAGGCAAAUUAUGAGAUUCGGGUACUAUUGAUCCACCAUGGAAGGAGACUGUGUCAAUUACGCAAAGAGAUGCCAUAAGUGCCAAAUCUACGGAGACAAAAUUUAUGUACCUCCUUCACCGCUGCAUAUCAUGGUUUCUCAGUGGCCAUUCUCUAUGUGGGGCAUGGAUGUGAUUGGACCAAUAUCGCCGAAAGCUUCCAAUGGGUAUCGGUUCAUCUUUGUGGUUAUUGACUACUUUACCAAAUGGGUAGAGGCCGCUUCGUAUGCUAGUGUUACAAAGUCAACGGUGAGCAAGUUCUUGAAAAAAGAGAUCAUAUGUCGAUACAGAAUGCUAGAGAGGAUCAUAUCUGACAAUGCAUUAAACUUGAACAACAGCAUGAUAGCGGAGGUCUGCAGUCAAUUUAAGAUCAGACAUCACAACUCGUCACCGUAUCGCCCGAAGAUGAAUGUGGCAGUGGAAGCAGCCAAUAAAAACAUUAAGAAGAUUGUGGGGAAGAUGACUGAGACCUACAAAGAUUGGCAUGAAAAAUUACCAUUUGCCCUUUUUGCUUAUCAAACGUCAGUCGGAACCUCAACCGGGGCAACCCCAUUCUCUUUGGUCUACAGAAUGGAAACGGUGUUGCUGGUCGAAGUUGAGAUUCCAUCCCUCCGAGUGUUGUCGGAACUAAAAUUAGACGAAGCAAAAUGGGUCCAGUCUCGAUAUAACCAAUUGAACUUGAUCGAGGAAAAGAGGCAAAAAGCUAUUCGUCAUGGUCAGAUGUACCAAAAACGAAUGAUGCGGGCUUAUGACAAAAAGGUUCGCCCUAGAGAAUUCCACGAGAGAGACCGGGUUUUGAAAAAGAUCCUUCCUAUAUAGAAGGAUUUUCGAGGGAAAUGGAUGCCUAAUUGGGAAGGGCCUUAUGUGGUGAAGAAAGCUUUCUCUGGAGGAGCAUUGAUCUUAGCCGAGAUGGACGGUAGAAACUUGCCCAAUCCUGUAAACUCGGAUUCGGUCAACAAGUAUUUUACCUAAAAGAAGAGGGAACAGAGUGAAAACCCGCAAUGGGCACUUUGAGAUUAUAAAAAAAACGGAGAGGCCAAGGUGAAAACCCGCAAAGGGCACUUUGGAACCAAAUGGGCUUUUGAGUUGAAAACCCGAAAACGGGUAGCUCAAAUUUUGAAUAUGGGGCAUAUGGUAGUCUUGUCUUUCCAAAAUCAACAAGACAGAAGAAUAGUACACCUUGGAGCAUCAACAAAAUACGCAGGAUCUCCUGAAUACACAUUUGGUUCAAAGGAGCCUUUGAUAAAUUAGAAUAGUGAAACUCGUGCUGCGAUAUCUGGGGCACCUUUUUCUCAUUUUUUGCACCUUAUCAGAUUCAUAUUCCUAUGUAUUCACAUCAAAUUUUGCUUAAUAAAAUUCUAUUGGUCCAUUAUGAUAAUCUCUUUCGAGCAUUUUUGCUGAAAUCGCGAUUUUUGAACAUGUAUAUUCACAUAAAAGAUGUUAUGCAUAUUGUUCUGGAAAGUCUCUAAAUGGUACAAUGACCUGAAACAAGGCCACUAAUCAGGACCAACCAGGUUCAAAGUUGGAAAACAUUCAGAAAAGAGUAGUCCAAAUUAUGACUAUUUCUUUAAAUUUUCUGUCAGAAAUAACGACUAAGCAAGAAGACAUGAUAGCAUAUCAAUGAUAGAGCCCAGACGAGUUAUGAGCAAUGACACAUUAAGCGUUUGAAAAGGAAUCACUCUCAUAGCAUUUUUACAUUCAUAGUCAUUCAUUUAGUUAGGAGUACUUGAUUCAUCUCGAUCAUAGCAUCCUAGUUAUUUGACAUACACAGAUAUAGGAAACUCAUUCUACACAUCAUGUCUUUAGAAGACAGUGUAACGACAUUGGCAAAUCCCGCAGAUUUGGCGUCUCUGUAUUGACGGAUAGCAGAUCGAAGAUAGCAGAUUUGGCGUCUCUGUAUUGUCAGAGGGUAGAUCUAAGAUAGCAGAUUUGACGUCUCUGUAUUGACGGAGAACAAAUCAAAGAUAGCAGAUUUGGCGUCUUUGUAUUAUCAGAGGGCAGAUCUAAGAUAACAGAUUUGACGUCUCUGUAUUGGCGGAAAGCAGAUCGAAGAUAGCAGAUUUGACAUCUCUGUAUUGUUAAAAGGCAGAUCUAAGAUAGCAGAUUUGACGUCUCUGUAUUGGCAGAGAGUAGAUCGAAGAUAGUAGAUUUGACGUCUCUGUAUUGUCAGAGAGUAAAUCUAAGAUAGCAGAUUUGGCAUCUCUGUAUUGGCGGAGAGCAGAUCGAAGUUACAGAUUUGGCGUCUCUAUUUUGUCAGAGGGCAGAUCUAAGAUAGCAGAUUUGGCGUCUCUGUGAUUGACAAAGAGCAAAUCAAAGACGAUGAAUUUCGACUUCCUAAAGUUGCAGUGAAACAGAUUUAAGCAACCAUCCUAGCUCCCUAAUGUUGUAGUGGAGUAGGCCGAAGAUUGCAGAUCUCGUCUCCAGUGGGGCAAGUCAAAGUCACUCGAAGAAAAGAAGCACCAAAGAAGUCAUGAUUCGGCAAAACCGAGCAAAAUUGACCCUCUUUGAAGUCUUUUCCCUAUUCUCGUUACACGACAAUAAGCAAAGAGGGGCAGCUGUAAUGGGCCAAUUUAGCCCGGGCCCGUAUAAACACAAAACCAAAAUAAAUAAAAAUACAUUAACAGUCUAAUAAAAGUCCAUUUAGUUAAUGUCCUAUUACAAGCCCAAAACAGUCCCUCUAGCCCAAAUCUAGUGGCCCAAUACCCAAUUAACCCAAGUGGCCCAAUGUUUGAAAAUAGGGCAGAACCCUAGCAGCAAGGAACGCUGCAGCCCUAGCCUCCAGCACGCCUCCGUACGACCCCUUGUACACCUCCGUACAGCCUUCACGCACCACCCGUAUCCGAGCGCCAACACACCCGCACCUGCAAGGAGACAAACAAGCAACAACAGCAAAGAAAAACAAAAAGAAAAAACAUUGUAUUUUUUGUUUUUCGUUAAUUUUUCCUCUUUCCUUACGACUAUAAAGCCAGAGUUUGAGUCUUUGUAAAAGGUUACGCUGAGAGAGAAUAUGAACACACAAUACAGCCACAAUACUCGCAUAUUGAAUACAAGGCAAUAGCAAAGAAAAGGUGAUUUGAGAUUAAAAUUUUCGGGUUUCUUCUUCUCGACUUUUUCUUUCUGCAUUUCUUUUUCUUUUUUGUUUCUUUAUUUGCAUUCAAAUGUAAAAAAGGGGGAAAGGAAGAGUUACCUCAAAAGCAUGCCAUGGAUCUCCUCUUGCUUUGUUAAAAUCGAAGCUAGGAGGAGACUAAAAGGCUGAAAGGCGUUCUCUCCAACCCCAAAUCUGUUGGCUGCUGCGAAGGGAAGGGAAAUCGGCAGUUUCAAGGAGGACUUAGGGUUUGGAAAAGGAGAGGAUGAAGGGGGUUCGGCUGAAUGGGGUACUCUGUUGUGGGAUUUUAAGGCAGUAGAAACGGUACCGUUUAGACCAAGGAUAAUGGUCUCAAACGGCGCCGUCUAGGUCUCCCACUCUAUGCCCGAUCCGACCCAUUUCUUCGACCCUCAAGAUCCGCGCGUUUAUCGCAGUGAAGGGAAAUUUUCACAUUUAGUCCCUUCCUUUUGCACUGAUGCUUAGUUAGACCGAGUCCAGUUUCCUUUAUUUUUUAAAUCUGCCCUAUAAUUUGUACAUAUUUUCACUUUAGUCUACGUCUUAAUACUGAGUUGCGAGGACUGGUAUAUUUCCAGUUUAGAUCCUUCUGCAUUAUUGCGCCUCGCACAUUGGUCCCCCUUGUUAUUUGUUCUGUUUUCUUAAUUUUCCCUUGUUGUUUUAGUUUAAUUUCAAUCAAGCCCUUGUUCAUGUACAUGUAAACCUUUUUGUUUAUUU
rnacentral:lncRNA from 1 species